GUUUUAUUUUACAAUGUAAAGAAUAUAAAGAAACUUUACUUUUCCCCCUUUCUCCCAAUUUCUCCCGCACUACAACCUAGUUUCAUGGUUCUCGCAUUCUUGGUGUCAUUGAUUAUCAAAAACCUGUUCGAAGUGGGAAUUUUGAAGUGGAAGUGAAAGUGGAGGAAUAUGUAGUACAUGGUUGUGAGGAGGCAAAGAACAAGUGGUCUUGUAGUUUGGGUGAAGGUCAAACUCUUUACCUUCAUUGCUCUAAAGGUCACUGUAUUGCUAAAUUCUAGUGGGUUGAACUGAGGCUUCUAGCAUGGAGGUCAAAGAUCUAGUUGAAUCCUAAAGACAUCUCUGAAAUUGAUUGCUUAUGGUGAUGUUGAUUGACUUGAGUUUCUUAAUAUAGUCGACAGUCUAUCACUUGGUUAAUGCUUAUUCCUUGGCUUCUUCUUGAUCUCAAGAAAUAUUAAGAAGCAAGCAUCAAUUUAUAAAUGCUAUCGAACUAAAAAUAAAAAUAGAUGUCUUUUUUAUGGUCAGGAAAAUCUAGACAAUAGUUAAAAAAUCGUUGUCUAAUCUUUAUGCCAUAAUUUUUAUAGUUUUGACCGCCAUUUAUUUGCUGUGAAUGAAACCGUGAUGAAGCAUAUCUUCUCAACAAAAAGAAUUCAGCAAAAACAUGAAUGUCACAAAACACCGUGUGGAAGUCACAAGAAUUGUAGGAAAACAAAACCAUAAUGCAAACAUACAUAGAUUUAAGAAGUGAGGAAAGGGUGACAUAUAUCCAAAUUGUAACGACAAUGAAUGAAUUGUUAUAUUAUUAAUGUGAGGUGAUGAAGAGGUAGAUAAAAGGCAUGAGAAGUAGGAAAUGUAGA